AUGGGGAACAUUCCUUUGGAAAGGACCAACAGAAGGCAGUAUCUUUAGAGUUUCUCUGCCAGCAAUAAAGAAAGAUUUUGGUCCUGCUUUAAAUAAGAAAAAGUUUACUCUUUAUAUAUAUUGGAUCUCAUUGCUGCAUAGUAAAAAGAGAGUAUCAUGCCAUAUGCAGAAGUGAAGGUUUGGAACCACAUAAAUAUAAGUGGCUUGCUCCUUAUAGAAAAAAUGUAGUGCAACAAUGGGUAUUUCCUUCAUGAAGCCUCAGUACUUAUAGGAAGAGUUUUUUGGCCAGCAUUGGAGUUGAAGGCUUUGCUAUGCUUCUAAUAAAAGGAACUGGCUUACUCGCUUGUAAUAUGCAGCAGAAGUGGAAGAUAUCAUAAUACCGAAGAAGUGGGAACACGAAACGCGUCUAUUAUAAAUAUAUAUUUAACUAGCUAUUUGUAUGCUGUAUCUGUUUAUUAUGGGCUCUGUUUUAAGGAUGUAUUGGAUUUUGUGGUGGUCAAUGUGGACUUUUGUAUUAAAUAUAUAAAACUGAAGCAGUUUUAUAUUUAAAAGCAUAUAAAUAUAUUAAAAAGUAUUAAAAA